UAAUAUUGGCUCAGUCUUGCUUCC
rnacentral:siRNA from 1 species